rnacentral:rRNA from 1 species
UGGGGGAUAUUGCGCAAUGGGGGCAACCCUGACGCAGCAACGCCGCGUGAAGGAUGAAGGUUUUCGGAUUGUAAACUUCUUUUAUUAAGGACGAAACUUGACGGUACUUAAUGAAUAAGCUCCGGCUAACUACGUGCCAGCAGCCGCGGUAAUACGUAGGGAGCAAGCGUUGUCCGGAUUUACUGGGUGUAAAGGGUGCGUAGGCGGCUUUGCAAGUCAGAUGUGAAAUCUAUGGGCUCAACCCGUAAACUGCAUUUGAAACUGUAGAGCUUGAGUGAAGUAGAGGCAGGCGGAAUUCCCCGUGUAGCGGUGAAAUGCGUAGAGAUGGGGAGGAACACCAGUGGCGAAGGCGGCCUGCUGGGCUUUAACUGACGCUGAGGCACGAAAGCGUGGGUAGCAAACAGG